rnacentral:rRNA from 1 species
UACGAAGGGGGCUAGCGUUGCUCGGAAUCACUGGGCGUAAAGCGCACGUAGGCGGAUUGCUAAGUCAGGGGGUGAAAUCCUGGAGCUCAACUCCAGAACUGCCUUUGAUACUGGCGACCUUGAGUCCGGGAGAGGUGAGUGGAACUCCGAGUGUAGAGGUGAAAUUCGUAGAUAUUCGGAAGAACACCAGUGGCGAAGGCGGCUCACUGGUCCGGUACUGACGCUGAGGUGCGAAAGCGUGGGGAGCAAACAGG